CUACUUCUUGCUCAGUGGAGCAAACAAAGGGGAAACAUAGAUCCUGAUCCAGAAUUUAUUGACAAAACACAAAAUCUCCCUGCUGGAUUUGGCUUCACCAUGGAUUUUGGCAGCAGUUCAGCCUUUAACAUUUUCUACUUUUGAAGAGACAUCAGCUGCUAUUAGCCCCAGUGACAGGCAAUGAUUCCUGCACCUCAGAAGGUAACAAUUCUGCCUUGGGAUAGGACAUUGCUGGGACCUGAGGGGCAUCCCCAUUCUCUGCGCAGCUGUCCACAAGAGAAAAGGGCCAGCUGCUAACUGCAUGUUGUGGGGUGCUGAGUCUCUGACUUCUGAGUGGUGAGAAGAAAUACUCCCUACAUAAUGGCAAGGUGCAUUGCAAGGAGACUCAACCAUGGAAUCAGGAAUGCCUUCUUCAAUCUCUCAGCUGUGUCAUCUAGGUCUUGGUUCUCUUUAGUGUUGACUAAUACAGAGGGUGAACCUUCAGGAGAGAUGCCUUAUGCUCACCUGCCCACUUGGUAUCAAUGCAUCUUCAGCCCACUGUGCCUUAGUAUCUGAACAUGCUGUGAAAGCACAGAAGACCUGGAGAUGCCCGCUAGCAUGCUUUGAGUGGAACAUGCAGUGGUUUCCUUAUGAAGUUUUCCAAUGACUUGUCAUCAUCCCAUACAUCCUACUGAUGCCCAAAUUAAACUGAUGAAUAUGUUUUUCUUUAAAAAACACAGAACGCAACUCUUCUUCUAAAAUCUUUCUAUGUCUAAGAAAUCCACCAGCAAAUGUUUUAGCAUUCUGGUUACUGGACAGCUUCAGUUGGGACUGGUCCUGCUUCUGAAGUUGGGGUCCCUUUGCAGAAGAAAUGCAGGCUUUCCGUAACUGCAGUGAUGAGUGGAAAGUCACUAGUUCUGUCACCGCUAGAGUUACACAACAGAAAGUCGUCGUUAAAGAUGCAAAAGCAUGUCUCUUUUCUUCCCUCAAUGAGCUUUGUGACCCUCUUUGGGUGGUGCCUGCCAUGUCAAAUU